rnacentral:rRNA from 1 species
AACAAGGUUUCCGUAGGUGAACCUGCGGAAGGAUCAUUACCGAGUUUUCGAGCUUCGGCUCGACUCUCCCACCCUUUGUGAACAUACCUCUGUUGCUUUGGCGGCUCCGGCCGCCAAAGGACCUUCAAACUCCAGUCAGUAAACGCAGACGUCUGAAAUACAAGUUAAUAAACUAAAACUUUCAACAACGGAUCUCUUGGUUCUGGCAUCGAUGAAGAACGCAGCGAAAUGCGAUAAGUAAUGUGAAUUGCAGAAUUCAGUGAAUCAUCGAAUCUUUGAACGCACAUUGCGCCCCUUGGUAUUCCGGGGGGCAUGCCUGUUCGAGCGUCAUUACAACCCUCAAGCUCUGCUUGGUAUUGGGCUCCGUCCUCCCUGGGGACGCGCCUCAAAGACCUCGGCGGUGGCUGUUCAGCCCUCAAGCGUAGUAGAAUACACCUCGCUUUGGAGCGGUUGGCGUCGCCCGCCGGACGAACCUUCUGAACUUUUCUCAAGGUUGACCUCGGAUCAGGUAGGGAUACCCGCUGAACUUAAGCAUAUCAAUAAGCGGAGGA